rnacentral:piRNA from 1 species
UAUUUGAAUGGUGGUACUUCCAUAAGCAU